GUUGAACGCUGGCGGCGGGCCUAACACAUGCAAGUCGAGCGGACAGACGAAGCGUUUGCCUCGCUGCCGCUAGCGGCGGGCGGGUGAUUCAUACGAGUAUAACCUACCUAUGAGGCUGACAUCAGUACGGGGGCGCUGAUACAAUACCCGACAAGAUGUAGAACGGCGUGGAUCAUUGGAGCACGACCGUUUUGCUGUCCCUAAUUGAGGUAUCCGCGCCGCAUUAGCUAGUUGGUAAGGUAACGGCGUACCAAGGCAACGAUGCGUAGCCGACCUGAGAGGGUGAUCGGCCACACUGGAACUGAGACACGGUCCAGACUCCUACGGGAGGCAGCAGUAGGGAAUAUUCCGCAAUGGGCGAAAGCCUGACGGAGCAACGCCGCGUGAGUGAUGAAGGUCUUCGGAUCGUAAAACUCUGUUAUUAGGGAAGAACAAAUGUGUAAGUAACUAUGCACGUCUUGACGGUACCUAAUCAGAAAGCCACGGCUAACUACGUG
rnacentral:rRNA from 1 species